GAUGAACGCUGGCGGCGUGCCUAAUACAUGCAAGUCGAGCGAACGGACGAGAAGCUUGCUUUUCUGAUGUUAGCGGCGGACGGGUGAGUAACACGUGGAUAACCUACCUAUAAGACUGGGAUAACUUCGGGAAACCGGAGCUAAUACCGGAUAAUAUUUUGAACCGCAUGGUUCAAAAGUGAAAGACGGUCUUGCCGUCACUUAUAGCUGGAUCCGCGCUGCAUUAGCCAGUUGGUAGGGUAGCGGCUUACCAAGGCGACGACGGAUAGCCGGCCUGAGAGGGUGACCGGCCACAUUGGGACGGAGAUACGGCCCAGACUCCUACGGGAGGGAGCAGUGGGGAAUAUUGCACAAUGGUCGGAAGCCUGAUGCAGCAACGCCGCGUGCGGGAUGACGGCCUUCGGGUUGUAAACCGCUUUCGCCUGUGACGAAGCGUGAGUGACGGUAAUGUGUAAAGAAGCACCGGCUAACUACGUG
rnacentral:rRNA from 1 species